GUUAUAUGGUCAAGUGAAGAAGCGCAUACGGUGGAUGCUUGGCAGUCAGAGGCGAUGAAAGACGUGGUAGCCUGCGAAAAGCUUCGGGGAGUCGGCAAACAGACUUUGAUCCGGAGAUCUCUGAAUGGGGGAACCCAGCCAUCAUAAGAUGGUUAUCACACACUGAAUACAUAGGUGUGUGAGGCGAACCAGGGGAACUGAAACAUCUAAGUACCCUGAGGAAAAGAAAUCAACCGAGAUUCCCUUAGUAGUGGCGAGCGAACGGGGACUAGCCCUUAAGCUUCUUUGAUUUUAGCGGAACGCUCUGGAAAGUGCGGCCAUAGUGGGUGAUAGCCCUGUACGCGAAAGGAUCUUAGAAGUGAAAUCGAGUAGGACGGAGCACGAGAAACUUUGUCUGAAUAUGGGGGGACCAUCCUCCAAGGCUAAAUACUACUGACUGACCGAUAGUGAACCAGUACCGUGAGGGAAAGGCGAAAAGAACCCCGGAGAGGGGAGUGAAAUAGAACCUGAAACCGUAUGCGUACAAGCAGUGGGAGCCUACUUUGUUAGGUGACUGCGUACCUUUUGUAUAAUGGGUCAGCGACUUAUUUUCAGUGGCGAGCUU
rnacentral:rRNA from 1 species